rnacentral:rRNA from 1 species
CCAUAAUUUACUUGAUGUUGAUAUUCCACGUGGAUAACUGUGGUAAUUCUAGAGCUAAUACAUGCACCAAAGCUCCGAUCUCAUGACGAGCGCAUCUAUUAGACCAAAAACCAAUCGAGAAUAUUCGCCUCAAAACGAAUGCCUCGUAAAUUUGGUGACUCUGAAUAGCUUAGCUGAUCGCAUGGUCUCGCACCGGCGACGUAUCUAUCAAGUGUCUGCCUUAUCAACUUUCGAUGGUAGUUUAUAUGCCUACCAUGGUUGUAACGGGUAACGGAGAAUAAGGGUUCGACUCCGGAGAGGGAGCCUGAGAAACGGCUACCACAUCCAAGGAAGGCAGCAGGCGCGCAAAUUACCCACUCUCAGCACGAGGAGGUAGUGACGAAAAAUAACGAGACCGUUCUCUUCGAGGCCGGUUAUCGGAAUGAGUACAAUUUAAAGCCGUUAACGAGGAUCUAUGAGAGGGCAAGUCUGGUGCCAGCAGCCGCGGUAAUUCCAGCUCUCAAAGUGUAUAUCGUCAUUGCUGCGGUUAAAAAGCUCGUAGUUGGAUUUAAGCUCGAUGACUCGGUCCAUCCAUAGGAUGAGAACUGAGCUCAUCGGCUAUCAUCGGCUGGUUUUGUCUAGGUGGCUUUAAACGGUUGCCUAGGCUGGCUAGCAAGUUUACUUUGAAAAAAUUAGAGUGCUCAACGCGGGCUUAAUGCCUGAAUAGUCGUGCAUGGAAUAAUGGAAUAGGAUUUCGGUUCUAUUUUGUUGGUUUUUUUAACCGAAAUAAUGGUUAAGAGGGACAGACGGGGGCAUUCGUAUCGCUACGUGAGAGGUGAAAUUCUUGGACCGUAGCGAGACGCCCGACUGCGAAAGCAUUUGCCAAGAAUGUCUCAUAAUCAAGAUCGAAGACG